rnacentral:rRNA from 1 species
UGAGGAAUAUUGGUCAAUGGGCGAGAGCCUGAACCAGCCAAAUCGCGUGAAGGAAGACUGCCUUAUGGGUUGUAAACUUCUUUUAUACAGGAAUAAAAAACGGGGACGUGUCCCUUAUUGCAUGUACUGUAUGAAUAAGCAUCGGCUAACUCCGUGCCAGCAGCCGCGGUAAUACGGAGGAUGCGAGCGUUAUCCGGAUUUAUUGGGUUUAAAGGGUGCGCAGGCGGGCUUUUAAGUCAGCGGUGAAAUCUCGGGGCUUAACUCCGAAACUGCCGUUGAAACUGGGAGUCUUGAGUAUGGAUGAAGUAGGCGGAAUUCGUUGUGUAGCGGUGACAUGCUUAGAUAUAACGAGGAACUCCGAUUGCGUAGGCAGCUUACUAAGCCAUAACUGACGCUCAAGCACGAAAGCGUGGGGAUCAAACAGGAUUAGAUACCCUGGUAGUCCACGCCGUAAACGAUGAUUACUAGUUGUAUGCGAUAUACCGUAUGUGACUAAGCGAAAGCGAUAAGUAAUCCACCUGGGGAGUACGCCGGCAACGGUGAAACUCAAAGGAAUUGACGGGGUCAUAGCUGUUUCCUG